CUGAACCUCUUGGAGCAAUUCUCUAAAGCUUUCAGAAGAGACACAGGGUCCACGCCUAGUCCCUAAGAAUUGUAAAGGUGUGGGAUAAGCAGCGCCCUACUUCUUCCAAGAUGUCUUUUUGCUUUCAAUCUUUGAGCAAGGGAAGCAGUACCCGUAGCAAAGCACAGGAAGAUCUGAACCCCAAAAAAUUCAAAUAAAAGCUGAAGAAGAAGCCAGUAAAGACUUGGGACAGGACCCCUCACACCUCCAAGCAGGGGCCGCAGCUGAGGGCUGCGGGAACGCGGGCGGAGUUUGCAGCGCUGCUCCCCCAGCCCGCUGGUCACUGGAAAUGCUUGGUAAUGCACAGAGACACACAGUUGUUACAAGUUAAUCAAAAAGUGAAGGGUGUUUAAGGAGAGAGGAACGCUCUGAUCUGGACACACCGUCCGCAGAAAUCAGUCUCUCACAAGAAGAAGGAGGAGGGGGCAGCAGCCGAGGAGGAGGACAUGCUGAGAACCUGCUGCCAUCAGUGUGGAAACCGCUCACGGGCCUUUGGAAUCUGAAGAGGGAAGAGGAGCCCUCCGCUUUGUGCUUUGACCCUCACGUCCAGGCUGCUUCAGGGAAGGCGCCAGAGUGCUGGGCCUGCGCAGCAUUUCCUGCGACACUUACGCUUCUGGUGACCGAGAGUCCUCUGAUGCAGGGACAGCGGGGGGCUUCUUACCUAGGACCCAGUGGUCACCAAAGCCAGACCCGGGGAUUUUGCCGCCCUGCUCCAGAGCACGGACGAGCCUGCGUUAUUCCGUGGGAGCUGCCGCCUCUCAGAUGUUUCUGCUGUUCGGAUUCCCCUGCUUUCGGUACAGAAGCCCUGCGCCUUCCCGCUGGCUUGGGACACUGCCUGGGCCUGCCCUGGCCCGGUCCUUAACCGGCCUUGGUCUACACCUCACUGCCACCAAGCAGUGCCCUCACCCAGGUCCCUGGGCGCUCACUCCGCCUGCCAGCGAAUGUCCCUGCUGCUGGUCUGGUCGGGUGAGGACGAGAUCAGGGUUCAAAAGAUAAAAGGCCCCAGCUUUUGUUUUUAAGUCUGUAUUGCACGGCGUGGAGUGGCCCGGAUGACAAAAUGACACGGUGAGGUCCCAUCCUCUGCUGCCCUAAGAGAGAGGAGGAGCUCAGAGGAGACCGGGAGGCCUGCGGGUCCGGGGCGCGGGGGCCCUGUCAGGUCCUGCAGCCUCCUUGAUGCACUUUAAAAGAAUCUCUAGAGGGGAGAGAGUUUGAAAGGCAGGUAAGUGACAGCCUGGUGAGCCCUGUUUCCGGUUCGUCCCUCUCUGUCAUGCAAAUCACUUAAAUUCUUCCUUGGAUCAUCCCCCGGGAAUGAGCCGCGGAGUCUGACGGAUACUCCUUUAGGCGAUCGGGAGAAAGGCCUUUCUGUCCGGGCCCACGUUGCCUCUGUGGCCAGCAGGAGGCGCUGUUGCUCUUCGUAUCUCACAGGCUGCCGCAAGCCCCGCGAGGGUGUGUGACUCAGUUACUGCCCUUGUCGCUCGCUCGUUCACACUGACGUUUUGCGAAGGACAACGUGACACCCUGCUUGGUGAGCAACCGUGCACUGUCAUCUUGCGAAGCGUUGGGGAAACUGUCCAACUUUAGAAGUCAAAAGCAAAAUACAUCGACGGAGGCUCCAGAACAGUUGAUGCCCUCUGCCUGCUCUUUGCAAAUUCGAGCUCUUUUCUAAUUAAGAAGAAAGUAAUCAACUCUGCAGGUCCCCCUGGUUCAGCUGGUCCUCCUCUUAAGUCUUUGUCUUCUGCUUAGAAACCUCCUCUUUCUGUCUUCCUGUCAUGGGAGCGGUGGCCCACAAAGGUUUUAAAGUAGGCAUCGCACACACUGAGACAGCAGCGCUGCCGGAACUGUGAACUUCUAACCUUUUCAUUCAUCCCUGCCUCAUUUAAUCCAUAUUUUAAAAGAAAAGAAGCCACAGAAUGUAAACAGGCACCGACUGGCCUGACAUAGCCCGGGAAGAUCUGGCUGAAGAUUUUUCUAGGAGUUGAUCCAAGAACAUUUUUCUUUCUGCCCUUUAAUCUGUGGAAAGAGACACAAGCUACGGUGGCUGCCCGGAAGGCACAGAUGCCAGCACGGAAAUGCCUGCAGCACCCCGUGGGGCAGAGGCAGCUGGCACCCGGGGGAAGGAGAGUGGCUCGGGCGGGAGCAGGAGCUUCCUGUCCGCCGCCCGACCUUUCCGCUUGCUUUUCUUGCAAGUGGAUUCUGUUUCCUUUGAGCUGUGUGGGAUGGAGCUGAGGGAGGGAGGCUGAGGCACCUCGAUGAGGGUCGGUGAGCAGGGCCAGCGGUUUGCGUCCUCUGUCCCACCGAGCACCCAUCCCUUCUGCAGCGCCCCUAGUGGGAAGCUCCACAUCCUUUCUGUCCUUGUUCUAGGGUGGCUCCAGAGGAGAGGAAAUGAGAGUGAGAUGAUUUCGUGUCAGUGUCUGAGGUUGCUGGAGGCUCCAGAACCAAACUGGGGGGCAGGAAGUGAGGAUCAGAGGCCCCCAACCCCCUCUGCUAGAGACCAAUCAGAGCGCACACGCCUGUGUGUCAUGGCUGGAUGCUUUCAGAGCGAGCGGACUGCUUGCAGCGUUUCGUUUCUUUGAAGGAGCGGGGACAGGAGGCGAGAGGGACUUGCAGGGACCGACGGGAACCAGAGAGAAGGGGCCCGGGACAAUGAGGGUGAAAAGAAUCAGAAUCUGUCCAUGUGUACCCGGGGUACCCGACGCACCUUGUUAGUCUGGGGUGCUAAUAUGCACCAAUAAAAAAAGAGUUUCACAGGGGCUGGGGAUUUAGCUCAGUGGCAAAGUGCCUGCCUGGCAAGCG